rnacentral:rRNA from 1 species
CCUACGGGAGGCAGCAGUGGGGAAUCUUUCACAAUGGGGGGAACCCUGAUGCAGCGACGCCGCGUGAGUGAAGAAGUAUUUCGGUAUGUAAAGCUCUAUCAGCAGGGAAGAAAAUGACGGUACCUGACUAAGAAGCCCCGGCUAACUAGGUGCCAGCAGCCGCGGGAAUACGUAGGGGGCAAGCGUUAUCCGGAUUUACUGGGUGUAAAGGGAGCGUAGACGGUGAUGCAAGUCAGAAGUGAAAGGCCGGGGCUCAACGCCGGGACUGCUUUUGCAACUGUGUGACUGGAGUGCAGGAGAGGUAAGCGGAAUUCCCGGUGUAGCGGUGAAAUGCGUAGAUAUCAGGAGGAACACCAGUGGCGAAGGCGGCUUACUGGACUGUAACUGACGUUGAGGCUCGAAAGCGUGGGGAGCGAACGGGAUUAGAUACCCUUGUAGUC